GACGAACGCUGGCGGCGUGCCUAACACAUGCAAGUCGAACGGAGUAAAACGCUGAAUUGAUGGAAGCUUGCUUCUGGAUUUUCUUGUUUUACUUAGUGGCGGACGGGUGAGUAACGCGUGAGUAACCUGCCUUACAGAGGGGGGACCAACAGUUGGAAACGACUGCUAAUACCGCAUAAUGUAUAACCGAGGCAUCUCGGAUAUACCAAAGGAGCAAUCCGCUGUAAGAUGGACUCGCGUCCAAUUAGAUAGUUGGUGGGGUAACGGCCCACCAAGUCGACGAUUGGUAGCCGGGACUGAGAGGUUUGAACCGGCCACAUUGGGACUGAGACACGGCCCAAACUCCUACGGGAGGCAGCAGUGGGGAAUAUUGCACAAUGGGCGAAAGCCUGAUGCAGCGACGCCGCGUGAACGAAGAAGGUCUUCGGAUUGUAAACUUUUGUCAGCAAGGAGAAGAAAGUGACAGUACUUGCUAAGGAAGCCACGGCUAACUACGUGCCAGCAGCCG
rnacentral:rRNA from 1 species